CGAAGCAACGCGAACGAACCUUACCAGGCCUUGACAUGCAGAGAACUUUCCAGAGAUGGAUUGGUGCCUUCGGGAACUCUGACACAGGUGCUGCAUGGCUGUCGUCAGCUCGUGUCGUGAGAUGUUGGGUUAAGUCCCGUAACGAGCGCAACCCUUGCCUUUAGUUGCCAGCAGUUCGGCUGGGCACUCUAAAGGGACUGCCGGUGUUAAACCGGAGGAAGGUGGGGAUGACGUCAAGUCCUCAUGGCCUUUAUGACCAGGGCUACACACGUACUACAAUGGCCGAUACAAAGGGCAGCGACACUGCGAGGUGAAGCCAAUCCCGUAAAAUCGGUCUCAGUCCGGAUUGGAGUCUGCAACUCGACUCCAUGAAGUUGGAAUCGCUAGUAAUCGUGGAUCAGCAUGCCACGGUGAAUACGUUCCCGGGCCUU
rnacentral:rRNA from 1 species